UAUGUAUGUAUAUGUACAUAUAUAUAUAUUAUAUAUGUGUAUAUAUAUAUAUAUAUAUAAACAGUGGUCGAAGUGGUGCGGUAUACCGCCACUUCUUCCACUGACCCGGAAAUUAAAGUGCAGCAGGAGGCUAGGGAAGUGGCCAUCCUGCUGCACAUGGUACUCCCAUCCCUGCUCGGUGGCUGUGUAGAGCGCUGUACUAUCUCACAGCCGCUCACCGGUGCCAGCCGCUCACCACUGCCCACCGCUCACCGCCGCCAGCCACCUGCCGCCAUCUGCAACAAAUGAUGGUCAGAGGGACUUCACCGCCGCUGCCCAUGGGUGCCUCCGUCGACCACAGUCAGCUGCUGCACCGAGGAGAACAGCACCACCAAAAUGAUGGUACACACAAAUGGCUGUGCAGGAGUCUGGUGUCUACCUAAUGACCAAUAGUGGUCAACCUAUUGAGUAUCAACCUAAGUAAGGUCGACCUAAGGACCGUAUCCCGAACAGAGACCUACAGGCUGCCCUAAUCUAUUCUAUGUUACAUUCAAACUGCAAUCACAGCAGCAAAAAGACAAAACAAAACUGGCUAUCAUGGGUCAUAGAGAUCUCUGGACAUGAAGCACUGCAACCAAACAUCCAUAAUCCAAAAAGAUCAGGUAUUAAAUAGAAUCUCUAAAACCAGGAAGAAUUUCAGGAAUACUGAUGAAUCGCUUUGACCAUCUCUAAAUAUGAAGCAGCGACUGCAGUGCAUUGACCCGAGCCUUCUCAAUGAGGCUACAUGUUGGCUUUCUCUGCCGAUAACUGAAGCCAAGUUAUGUUUUAAACUCUGAAUCGCCUAGUUAAGAUGCAAAAUACUUCUCAUUUACCACUGACUAAAGGCUACUAGAUUUUAUUUAUAUUGUUUGAGAUAAAGGUAAGAUCUUGAGAGAGAUUUUCCUACAGACAACAGAAUUCUUGUCAAUAAUCCAGUUGAAGGAGGCUGAAAUAUAGAGAUGGGCACAGACCCCCGUUUUUUUAUUUUG